rnacentral:lncRNA from 1 species
GAACGCUUACGCUGGGCCAAAUUCAGCCUGUGCCUCUCCACAGCCAAUCCUGCACUUGCCGGCCCCUAACUCUGUAGCUGCACACAGGGCCUGGGCACUUGAGACCUCAGACUCGCCACCGGCUCCUCAGAGCCCCUGCCCAGGUCACCUGUGUAAGGAGAACACAGUGCCAAUGCAGCACAGCAUAGUGACACCCGGCCUGCCGGGAUUUAGCCCCCACCCUACCUAGCGGUUCUGGAGCUGCCACUGUGACCCAUGCAGGGUCGAGCAUCCCAGGCUCAUAGGAGGAAUGGACUUGCCUUGUCUCAGCUCGAAUUCUCUCUCCUGCCACCCUGAGAAGAGGUGCCUUCCACCAUGAUUGCACUCCCUCCAAGACAGACUUCUCUGUGGAAGCAGCAUAUUGGAGGCCUGCUAGGACAGUUCACAGGAAUGGCUGUGGAGGGCUGCAGGCAUGUCUCUAAUCAGAACCUGCUUGUCUUUUUGAUUGACAGCUGCACUUUCUCCACCAAGAAGUGGGUACUGUGCAAGUUAUGGUCAUAGUGAAGGUGGGGGACAUGGAGAUGAUCCCGAAUGAGCUGCAUAGGCCUCAUCGAAUCAGUGGAAAGCCUUGAGAACAGAGCCAAAGUUUCUCUGAGGAAGGGGAAAUUCUACCUGUAGACAGCAGCUUCAGUUCCUGCUGCAGUUUCCAGCCUGCCCUUCCUGAUGUCCUUCCCUGUGGAUUCCAGAUUUGCCAGCCAGUCCUCAUAGCCACAUAAGCCAAUUGCUUGUAAUAAAUCUCCUAGUGUUAAUGAUCCUUUAAUAAUAUACAUAUAAAUAAUAUAUCCUAGUAUUAAUAAAUCAAUCUCCCUCUCUCCAUCUCUCUCUCUCUCUCUCUCUCUCUCUCUCACACACACACACACACACACACACACACACACACACACGUCUUACUAGUUCUACUUCUCUGGUGGAACCUUGACUGAUAUAGAUGAGUAACCA